UCUCCGUAGGUGAACCUGCGGAGGGAUCAUUACUGAGUGAGGGUUUAACCGCCCGACCUCCAACCCUUUGUGAAUCGUACUCGUUGCUUCGGGGGCGACCCUGCCGUUUCGACGGCGAGCGCCCCCGGGGUCAAUCAAACACUGCAUCGUUGCGUCGGAGUUUAACACAAAUUAAACAAAACUUUCAACAACGGAUCUCUUGGUUCUGGCAUCGAUGAAGAACGCAGC
rnacentral:misc_RNA from 1 species